GUGUUUCUCUCUCACAUCAAAGUUUCUCUCUCCCCUCUCCAUCCCUUUCUUUUAAAAAAUCAAUAAAAUCACACACAUCAAAACAUAUGGUUCCUGCUGACAGGGUCUGUAUAGUUAUCAGAUUUCCUGUGCGAUGGCUCCAUACAUG